rnacentral:rRNA from 1 species
UACGACUACAUAUCAGGCAUAUCAAUAAGCGGAGGAAAAGAAACUAACGAGGAUUCCCCUAGUAACGGCGAGUGAAGCGGGAAGAGCUCAAAUUUGAAAUCUUAAAGGGUUUCCCUUUACGAAUUGUAGUUUAAAGAAGUGUUUUCUGUUGGAGUUUCGGUAAAAGUUCUUUGGAAUAGGACAUCAUAGAGGGUGAGAAUCCCGUAUUUGACCGUUACUUUCCAGCUGUGUGAUACACUUUCAAAGAGUCGGAUUGUUUGGGAAUGCAGUCCAAGAUGGGUAGUAAAUUUCAUCUAAAGCUAAAUAUUGGCGAGAGACCGAUAGCGAACAAGUACCGUGAGGGAAAGAUGAAAAGAACUUUGAAAAGAGAGUUAAACAGUACGUGAAAUUGUCAAAAGGGAAGCGUUUGACACCAGUGUUGUUUAGUUGAAAAUCAAUUCAAUAGUUUUUGAUUCUAAGUAGUAUUGACUUCAUCAGCUUGCUGCUUUCUUCUCAGAAAUUAUUGAAUGCACUUUUCAGUUAACAAGUCAACAUCAAUCUCUUUUGUUGUAAAAGGGUAAGAGGAAGGUGGCUUGCGCUUCGGCUCAAGUGUUUAUAGCCUUUUAUCUCUGCAAUCGGAGAGAUUGAGGUCUGCAGCGUAGAUCCUUCGGGGUUAGAUACAUUGGCGCUAAGCUAUAGCCUUGUAUAGACAACUUGUUGACUAUGCUCAGUCAUGUAGCUUACUCGCUGAUGCUAUUUUACCUACGCUUAGGAUGUUGAGUAGCGACAUACGCAC